CAUUAUUCAAUAAGUUGAGAGAGCCAAUUAGCUAGCGAGUACAUCGGCCUUUCGUUGAAAUAUCGAGUAAGAUUGAGAUGGGCGUCUCAUGCUCUGUGAUUCGUAUUCUGAUAAUCAUGCUCAUGAUUUUCAGUUCUUCAUUCUUGUCCAUGCAAUCAGUUCACGCAGUUGCUUGGAGAGCCAUCUUGAAAUGAGAAGAGUGCAGCUGGAAAACGAUGGCAGGAGCUGAAAUGAGGAACUCAACAAAAGCCUUCUGUGAAGCACUCAAUAUGUGAAAAGCUAGAUGGUAUUACUGCUGUAUUUUCAGCGUGUAUUGAGUGUACACAGGGACUUCUAUUUAUACAGAGAAGUAGAUCACUCUAAGCUCAGUCCCAUCAAGGAGUUAGAGUUUCAAUCCAACUCUACUGCAUAUGCAUAUCUUCUGUUAUCUAGAUACAUAAGAUAACAACAUUAACCUCUUGUAUUUAUCUAAUCAGAAUGCUUAGAUAAAUAUUACCAAGUUUUAAAUUAAAUUGUUUAUCUCUUGUUGAAUGUCCUACUUUAAUACAACAGUUGUUAUGCUUAACGAAACUAUCUUCAGUCCACUCUAACAGUCUCCGCCACAGCCACAGCCUCCGCCGAAAGCCUUGUAUUAAACCCGUCACUUCCAGAACCUUCCUCCUCUGCCUUCAGCCCAACGUGAGAGCUCCACCUGCAGUAAUCGCCGUCGGGGCUCGCCCUCAAGGUCCGCCGCACCCCGACGUACAUCUCCCCACCUCUGGAGCUCCUCAUGAACACCACAGAGUCGCCAGCGACGAGCAGCUUGUGGUUGACGAACUUGCUCCAGCUGGUGGUGAGCAAGUGCCUCCGGAGAGUUUUGCGGUAGAUGUGGCGGAAGUCCCAAACGCUGCCGUGCAGGUCGGUGACGACGAGAAAAUUACUAGGCUCCACCUGACGUUUGUGUGGUUGUGAUUCUCUACAAAGAUGGUAUGCCUCUUAGAUCUGGCUUGCAUUGAUUUUAUGUUUUUAGAUAUGAAAUGUAUUGGAAUUACUUUGUGAUUUUGAUGCUUUAGACCAGAUGAGUGUUCAUUUUAUGUUGAUUAAUAUCUUAGAUCCACAAUUUCAUGCUUGUCGUACUUGGAAAAUGAAGAACAUGAUCUUACUAGGGUCUGUUUUUUUUGAUUUCAUAGAUUCUGGGUUUUCUGGGUUUUCCUGGCCCAGAAUAAGAAAGCUUCAAGCUUUUAACUUUUCUGUGAUUUCUUUGUCAACUUCUCUACUUGAGAAGAUGACAAUUGAGCCAGUACUUGAUGACCAAAGAGAUCAAUUUCCUAUUGGAAUGCGUGUUCUUAUCGUCGAUGAUGAUGUCACUUGCCUGCGAGUCUUGGAGACUAUGCUUCAUAAGUGCCAAUAUCAUGGUGUGUUUAUGUUCCUUCUGUUCUCACUUUUGGAAUUUUGUUAUCAAGCCUUUUGCUUUUGUUUGGUAUUGAAACUCUGUUCUUGUUUCUUUUGGCAUGCCAUAAAAUAAUCUAUUUGUGAUUUGAUUGUACUUUGACUUUUCUGCCCAUUCUAAAUUUGAUAUCUGCUUCUUAGAUAUCUGUUCUUGACAAGAUUCAAUACUUCAUAAUAUUUUCUCUUAGAUAUCAUAGUUAGAUAGUAGAGAUCAAACGGAUUCUCAACCAUGUUCAAAUUCAGUUGUCUAUUUUAUUGUCUAUUAGGUACUAUCAUAUCAUUGGAUCUCUUUAUUGGAUGACUUGUUGAUUGCGCCAUCUGCUUUUGCAUCUGCACUUUUGGUUUUAACACUCUAGAAGAUAGGUGUGUUUUGUAUAGUUUUUGUAUUGGAUUUUGCAGUUACGGCUACCAGUCAUGCAUUUACUGUAAUUGCUGAGUGCUUUCCGAUAUGAAGGAGAUGAACAUUACAGACUUACAGUGGCAAAAAGAGAGGCUAAGACACUUCAUGAGAAAAUCAAGGCAAACACUACAAUGAUGAGGAGCUCAUCAGGAUCAUCACCACCAGAAGUUAAUAUUUUAUGUUUUGUUGGGUCUUUCAAUUGUUAAUGGUUUUUAUUCUUUUUAUUUUUAUUUAUUUAUCAAAAAGGCUCCAAUGACAUUCAUU